GAUGAAGAACGCAGCUAAAUGCGAUAAGUAAUGUGAAUUGCAGAAUUCAGUGAAUCAUCGAAUCUUUGAACGCACAUUGCGCCCGCCAGUAUUCUGGCGGGCAUGCCUGUUCGAGCGUCAUUACAACCCUCAGGCCCCCGGGCCUGGCGUUGGGGAUCGGCGGAAGCCCCCUGCGGGCACAACGCCGUCCCCCAAAUACAGUGGCGGUCCCGCCGCAGCUUCCAUUGCGUAGUAGCUAACACCUCGCAACUGGAGAGCGGCGCGGCCACGCCGUAAAACACCCAACUUCUGAAUGUUGACCUCGAAUCAGGUAGGAAUACCCGCUGAACUUAAGCAUAUCAAUAAGCGGAAGGA
rnacentral:misc_RNA from 1 species